AAAAGAAAGGGAGAGAGAAAGAAAGGGAGAGAGAAAGAAAGGGAGAGAGAGAGAAAGAAAGGGAGAAAGAAAGGGAGAGAGAAAGAAAAGGGAGAGAGAAAGAAAGGGAGAGCGGGGGAGAGAAGAGAAAGAAAGGGAGAGAGAGAAAGAAAGGGAGAGAGAAAGAAAAGGGAGAGAGAAAGAAUGGGAGAGCGGGGGAGAGAAGAGAAAGAAAAGCCUUGAUGUGUCACUGAUUGUUAAGUCUUCCUUUGGGUGUUUGAUUGUAAGCUUGGUGUCCAUCUCAAUCUUCACACACCUCCAUACAGGAAGCUGGUGUAUAAUAGUUAGCGUGUGUCCACCGUGUCCAAGUAUCAAGGUAUUGCGAUUGGACUCGCGUCUCAACCCAAACUCCUAAGGCGACACAGUGGUCACCUCCAUUUUACUCUCAGCCGGUGUUUAUAUUACAGUGUCUAUAUUACAGUCAGCUCACACACAACCGGAAUGCAGAAAGGUAUUUACUGACGGCUACUGUCUGAGUCUAACUUGAACACAUGAAGGCAGCAGUUAGGGGACAACCAAACAGCCUCUUCCUCUACACACAAUCCUCUUCGGUUUCUGCAUUGAGGAAGUGGUGUGGUGCAGAUCCUUGUCUUUGAUCAUGCUAAAAUGUGCUUUUAACCACAGCUCUAGGAUCAGAUUACCGUAAACUCAAUCCUAACAUUAACCUAGAGGGAUGAAAGUAAGAUCUGACCCUGUAUCAGUGUGUAUUUCUCCCUGCAGUUUAGGAGUUGAGUCUCCGCUAGGCUGGAGGCUGCAUUUAAAACACUCUGCAUCAGAAUGAAGUCAUGAGCUCAGUCAGCUAUGGGAACUGUGGGUUGCCAUAGAAAUUAGAACCGGUGAGUUGGAGAGAGAGGGAGGGAAGAGAGGAGAGAGAGAGAGGCAGGGAGGGGAGAGGUACCCAUGGCAACAGAAGCAUUCUAAAUAGAAGCCGAGACUGACCUGCCUUGGCGAGUGUUAAGUCAGGCCCACACCCACGCACACAUGCGAGGGUACACACAAAAAACGUAUGUCCACACAUACAUCCAGGCACAUGGAGAGAGAGAGAGAGACGUCUGAAGAAAAGGAAAGGAACUCCACUGUGGAACCACUAGACUAUUGGUACAGCAAAUGUCAGACAAGACACUUCUGUCUCUGUUUUCUCCCCACCCACCUCCUCAGUCAUGUAAGCAUGGUGUGUAAAGUCAACCAAGCGACAUUGUAGAGCGAGCGAGGCGUUAAAACAGUGGUGUUCAUUAACACUUCUGUGACACGGUACAUUCCCUCGUUCCCUCACUUAUUUUCUUUCUUUCGGAAACUCACUCGACUGACACUCGCUCACUAAAAGGAAAAGUAGAAUUCGAUUGACAGUGUUGUUUGGGUCUUGUAGCCACACUGCUUGUUUCUAGCCUGGUCCCAGAUCUGUUUGACAAUGACCAUCGGAGUUGACAAGAUGGCACAAACAGAUCUGGGACCAGGCUAGCUUGUAGUGUUGGUGCUUUUGAUACAUA
ensembl:lncRNA